GGUUACCUCGCUAUCUGCAGUCGUGCGGACCUUUUAAAGCUUGCUUUUAAAAGGUUAGCGGCGGACGGGUGAGUAACACGUGGGCAACCUGCCUGUAAGAUCGGGAUAACGCCGGGAAACCGGGGCUAAUACCGGAUAGUUUUUUCCUCCGCAUGGAGGAAAAAGGAAAGACGGCUUCGGCUGUCACUUACAGAUGGGCCCGCGGCGCAUUAGCUAGUUGGUGGGGUAACGGCUCACCAAGGCAACGAUGCGUAGCCGACCUGAGAGGGUGAUCGGCCACAUUGGGACUGAGACACGGCCCAAACUCCUACGGGAGGCAGCAGUAGGGAAUCUUCCGCAAUGGACGAAAGUCUGACGGAGCAACGCCGCGUGAGUGAAGAAGGCCUUCGGGUCGUAAAACUCUGUUGCCGGGGAAGAACAAGUGCCGUUCGAACAGGGCGGCGCCUUGACGGUACCCGGCCAGAAAGCCACGGCUAACUACGUGCCAGCAGCCGCGGUAAUACGUAGGUGGCAAGCGUUGUCCGGAAUUAUUGGGCGUAAAGCGCGCGCAGGCGGCUUCUUAAGUCUGAUGUGAAAUCUUGCGGCUCAACCGCAAGCGGUCAUUGGAAACUGGGAGGCUUGAGUGCAGAAGAGGAGAGUGGAAUUCCACGUGUAGCGGUGAAAUGCGUAGAGAUGUGGAGGAACACCAGUGGCGAAGGCGGCUCUCUGGUCUGUAACUGACGCUGAGGCGCGAAAGCGUGGGGAGCAAACAGGAUUAGAUACCCUGGUAGUCCACGCCGUAAACGAUGAGUGCUAAGUGUUAGAGGGUUUCCGCCCUUUAGUGCUGCAGCUAACGCAUUAAGCACUCCGCCUGGGGAGUACGGCCGCAAGGCUGAAACUCAAAGGAAUUGACGGGGGGCCGCACAAGCGGUGGAGCAUGUGGUUUAAUUUCGAAGCAACGCGAAGAACCUUACCAGGUCUUGACAUCCUCUGAUCCUCUCUGGUAGACAGGGACUUUCUCCCUUUCGGGGGACAGAGUGACAGGGUGGUGCAUGAUUGUCGUCAGCUCGUGUCGUGAGAUGUUGGGGUUAAGGUCUCGCAACGAGCGCAACCCUUGACGUCAGAUGUAGCAUUGCAGAUGGGCACUCUAGGUGAACUGCCCUGAUGACAACCUGCAGUAGAUGGGGAUGAACGAUCAAAUUCAUUCAAUGAUGCU
rnacentral:rRNA from 1 species